rnacentral:misc_RNA from 1 species
AAGGAUCAUUACAGAGAAUAUCGCCCUCGCGGGUGACUCUCCAACCCAAUGUUAUUCUACCUUUGUUGCUUUGGCGAGCCGCCUUGGCCACCGGCUCACGCUGGUGAGCGCUUGCCAGAGGACCCAAAACUCUGAAUUUAAAGUAUUGUCUGAGUACUAUAUAAUAGUUAAAACUUUCAACAACGGAUCUCUUGGUUCUG